rnacentral:rRNA from 1 species
GAUGAACGCUGGCGGCGUGCCUAAUACAUGCAAGUAGAACGCUGAAGCUUGGUGCUUGCACCGAGCGGAUGAGUUGCGAACGGGUGAGUAACGCGUAGGUAACCUACCUCUUAGCGGGGGAUAACUAUUGGAAACGAUAGCUAAUACCGCAUAAAAGUCGACAUUGCAUGAUGUUGACUUGAAAGGUGCAAAUGCAUCACUAAGAGAUGGACCUGCGUUGUAUUAGCUAGUUGGUGAGGUAACGGCUCACCAAGGCGACGAUACAUAGCCGACCUGAGAGGGUGAUCGGCCACACUGGGACUGAGACACGGCCCAGACCCCUACGGGAGGCAGCAGUAGGGAAUCUUCGGCAAUGGACGGAAGUCUGACCGAGCAACGCCGCGUGAGUGAAGAAGGUUUUCGGAUCGUAAAGCUCUGUUGUAAGAGAAGAACGAGUGUGAGAGUGGAAAGUUCACACUGUGACGGUAACUUACCAGAAAGGGACGGCUAACUACGUGCCAGCAGCCGCGGUAAUACGUAGGUCCCGAGCGUUAUCCGGAUUUAUUGGGCGUAAAGCGAGCGCAGGCGGUUAGAUAAGUCUGAAGUUAAAGGCUGUGGCUUAACCAUAGUACGCUUUGGAAACUGUUUAACUUGAGUGCAGAAGGGGAGAGUGGAAUUCCAUGUGUAGCGGUGAAAUGCGUAGAUAUAUGGAGGAACACCGGUGGCGAAAGCGGCUCUCUGGUCUGUAACUGACGCUGAGGCUCGAAAGCGUGGGGAGCAAACAGG